rnacentral:rRNA from 1 species
CGACCCCAGGUCAGGCGGGGUUACCCGCUGAAUUUAAGCAUAUCAAUAAGCGGAGGAAAUC